UACGGAGGGUGCAAGCGUUGUUCGGAUUUACUGGGCGUAAAGCGCGCGCAGGUGGGGUGUACAAGUCGGAAGUGAAAUCUUGAGGCUCAACCUCGAGGCUGCUCCCGAAACUGUACGCCUAGGGACUGGUAGAGGCUGGUAGAAUUCCCGGUGUAGCGGUGGAAUGCGCAGAUAUCAGGAGGAACACCGAUGGCGAAGGCAGGUCUCUGGGCAUUAACUGACGCUGAGGAGCGAAAGCAUGGGGAGCGAACAGG
rnacentral:rRNA from 1 species